rnacentral:lncRNA from 1 species
CAGUUUUUGUAUAACUUGAUAUAUGUACACUGAUAUUUAUAUAUGCACACUCAUAUGUACAUAUAUAAAGGGUUUAUAUAUACACUAAUGUAUAAGACUAUGUAUUAUUCUCAGUGAUAUACACAAUGAUUAGAGAAAUUUGUGUACGUAUUGAUGUAUAGCAAUAUAUAUCAUUGUUUUCAGUGUAUAUACAACUAUUAGUGUGUAAAGAAUACAUUGAUGUGUGUGUGUGCGUGAUGUUUGUAUUUAUUCGAUGUGUGUAUACUGAUAUGUGUAUGUGUAAAGUGCAUAACUGUAUCUAUACAAUGCGCUAAUGUAUAUAUUUCUAUAUAUAUUGAUGUAUCAGUUCAUACAGUUAUUAACGUAUAUCUACAUUAAUUUAUAUACUACACACACACUCACUCACACUUACACUCACACUCACCACUCACACUCAUACACACAGACACAUACACACUCACACUCACACACACACUCACACUCACACUCACACACACUCACACACACACUCACACACACUCACACUCAUACACACACACUCAUAGAUAUAUCUACUACAGACAUACACACUCACACUCACACACACUCACACUCACUCACAGAUAUAUAUACUAUACAUGUUUAUGUGUUGUGUAUGGACUGAUAUGUAAAUAUAUACGAUGUGUUUAUACUGAUAUGUUUAUGCGAGUAUAUAUACAGUUGCUUGCCAUCAAUUUUAUACAAUUAGCAAUGGAUAUAUACACAUAUAUGCACACACACAUGCACCG